CUGAGUAACAGAGCAGGCAGCAUGGAGCCUGGGACAAACCCACAUCUAGCACCCUGAGGCCACAUUUGGUGGGAAGGUUGGUGGGGCAGGAUCUGCUCUUGGUUGCUGGUGGGAAGGAUCAGCUGAUGGAGAGACAUGAGAGCAGCUUUCCCCAAAUCCCAGAAGCCAACCUUUCCUUCAGGAAGCACUGGUCUGCUUAUUGGUGCAGUGAGCAGGGAUGGGCCACAUAAGUGGGUGGCAGUGGUGGAUGCUGGUCCCAUUGCGACCAGAUGCUGCUCUACAGGCAGAGCUUGAAAGGGAUGAACUCAGACACAGUGACAUGUAAAAAUUCCCACACUCCCAUGGCCCCGCAUACAUCAUGACAAACCUCCCCUUUCUCCCAUCUUAACACACAGAUGCCCCAGCCCUAUGCCUGCAGAAUGGUCAUCAUCCCUGCCCUGCUCCCCAAGGACAAAUACAGAGAUCCUUUCUGCAUGA